UACAGAGGGUGCGAGCGUUGUCCGGAAUCACUGGGCGUAAAGGGUGCGUAGGCGGGUCUUUAAGUCAGGGGUGAAAUCCUGGAGCUCAACUCCAGAACUGCCUUUGAUACUGAAGAUCUUGAGUUCGGGAGAGGUGAGUGGAACUGCGAGUGUAGAGGUGAAAUUCGUAGAUAUUCGCAAGAACACCAGUGGCGAAGGCGGCUAACUGGUCCAUAACUGACGCUGAGGUGCGAAAGCGUGGGGAGCAAACAGG
rnacentral:rRNA from 1 species